GGCCGGGUGGUCCCCGUGCGCCUGUGCGGAAUGCGCCGUGCAUGCUGGGACUUGUAGUUUGCCGCUCCCACCUUGCCUCUGUCCAAAGUUUGUAAGGACAGCUUUAGUGCAGAGGUGGGAGAAGACAGUAUAGUCAAGGCGUUUAGGCUUUAGCCUUCUAGAAAAAGAAAUAUUUUCGUGCUUGAAUGGUAAAACCAACGACGCAAAAGCAAACAGAGUGAACGUCUGGCUCCUAUUGCAUCUCAAGAGAAUUUGAGACGUUUCAGUGCUGAAUUCAUAGGAAGACAUGCUAUGGGAAUGUGUUCACUAAAUUGUAUAAGGUCACCUUGUUGGUGUUCAAUCACAGGGUUAAGCUUGGGGCAAAGUGGUUUCAAACUAGGCAUAGCAUGCAUCCCGAAAUGCCAUCCUUAAUCUAUUUCAAACCAAAAGCUUACAUAGGAUUGAAUCAGUGACAUCUUGUCCACUAACCCAACCUGAGACAGCUUUCUUGUAUGACUUAGAUUCUAAAUCACAUAGCUAUGUCCAUCUCCUUUCAGCCUCCAGACUUGAAUCGGUGUCAGCUGGGCAGCCCACUAGCAUCUACCAGCUGGUUAAAAGGAAUUGUACCUCAUUAGACUUAGAAGGUAGUCGGUGAGACAGCAAAAUGGCUUAACAAGUAAAGAAGCCUGAUGACCUGUGUUCAGUGUUUAAGUCCUGCACGUUGUCUUACACACACACACACACACACACACACACACACACACACACACACUAAAUAAAUGAAUAAAUAAAUAUUAAUAAUGCUAUAAAAGAAUGAAGAUAACACGUGAACUCAAUUAGCUGUCAUCAUUAUAUAUCAAGUCAGAGUUGCUGGGAUAGUAGGAACUUUGGAUCAAACAAAUGUGAGUCUCCCCAUUAGAAUUCCACAUACCUAAUAAACAAUUUUAGGAAAACUGCUGGGCCUCUCUCCUCUCCAGUCUCCCCGUCUCAAAUAGAAAGCCCUGCUGUUUGGUAGGUGGAAAUAAAAGAGUGCUGUUUUCCAAAUCCAACCACAUACAGGCUGCUGUGUAGUCCACUGCGACAGAUACCGUGGAAGUUAGCAUAAUUCGAAAAUCCAGGAUUGUUCGUAUUUUGAAAUAAAUAAAUAAAUAAAUAAAUAAAUAUAAAUAAAUGAAAGAGCAUCUAUGACCCAAGAUACUCGGCAGUGUGUUGAUUACAGUUGAAAGAUGCCCUAAAUAUGGAUCUAAGUAUCUUGCUGGCCAGCAGAACAAAUAAUGGUUUGAGGCAUGUUUUGGCUGAAUGAACAUGAAAUCUUUAAUUAAUUGUGAGUUCAGCCUCUGCUUAUUAGGUCAAGAGUUCUGGCCAAUUAACAGUGAAGGCAUCCUGUGCUUAUCACUGACUGUAUGUGGCUGUAAUGUCAACGUCAUGUAAAGUACUUCGAUUUUGAAUUUUUUUUUUUAGUGACAUGUGGUUAAUGGUGAUUAUCAAAUUAACAGGAUCUGGAUUCACCAGAGAAACAAGCCUAUGGGCAUGUCUGUGAGAGACUGUUCAGGUUGACUGAGUGUGGCCAGCUGCCUCCCGGUUCUAGUGCUAUGACUGCCCUGCUAUGAAGGACUGUGUCCACAAACUAGAAUGGAUAAUCACAUGGGGGAGAAAGAAAGAGAGAGAAAAUAUAAUGUCAAGUCUGUGCGUUUGAUCUUUGAAAGUGGACAUCAGAGUCGCAUGUGACAAAAUGGAGUUUUUUAAAGAAGAGAGUUUGGAAUUUAAGAACACAAGCUUUUGUGCUCUCAUGGAGCUGGUGAAGGCUGUAACAUCGUGCUGUCUAAAGAGCUCACAUGCUGCUGCGGUGUUGAAGAUGAGACCAAGAAAGAGGAAAGGGGAAUAGAUGCUAUCCAUAGAGAUCCUGUCAUUACCCCCAAAAUAAAUAAAUCGA